UACGUAGGGUGCGAGCGUUGUCCGGAAUUACUGGGCGUAAAGGGCGCGUAGGCGGUCCGAUAAGUCCUGUGUGAAAUCCCUCGGCUCAACUGAGGAACUGCACGGGAGACUGUCGGGCUUGAGUUCGGGAGAGGGAAGCGGAAUUCCGGGUGUAGCGGUGAAAUGCGUAGAUAUCUGGAGGAACACCGGUGGCGAAGGCGGCAUCCUGGACCAAUUCUGACGCUGAGUGAGCGAAAGCCAGGGGAGCAAACGGG
rnacentral:rRNA from 1 species